rnacentral:rRNA from 1 species
AGUGAACGCUGGCGGUAGGCCUAACACAUGCAAGUCGAACGGCAGCACAGUAAGAGCUUGCUCUUACGGGUGGCGAGUGGCGGACGGGUGAGGAAUACAUCGGAAUCUACUUUUUCGUGGGGGAUAACGUAGGGAAACUUACGCUAAUACCGCAUACGACCUACGGGUGAAAGCAGGGGAUCUUCGGACCUUGCGCGAUUGAAUGAGCCGAUGUCGGAUUAGCUAGUUGGCGGGGUAAAGGCCCACCAAGGCGACGAUCCGUAGCUGGUCUGAGAGGAUGAUCACCCACAGUGGAACUGAGACACGGUCCAGACUCCCAGGGGAGGCAGGAGUGGGGAAUUUUGGAAAAGGGGCGCAACCCUGAUCCAGCCAUACCGCGGGGGUGAAGAAGGCCUUCGGGUUGUAAAGCCCUUUUGUUGGGAAAGAAAAGCAGCAGGUUAAUACCCCGCUGUUCUGACGGUACCCAAAAAAUAAGCCCCGGCUAACUUCGU